UCUUUAAAAAAAUAGUCUCAAUGCAUUUUUCAAAAUGAUCACAAAUGUGAUAUCCUCAUUAAAUAAAAAAACAAACACUUAAGUAUGAAUCAAAUUGUUAUUUGAUAAAUAUUUUAAGACUGUCAUUUUUACUUGGUGACUGGUAGUACAUUAUGUCAAGGCACAUUGCAAAUGCUUUAUUGUACUAUAUGACAGACCUGUACUAUAUGUCAGGCCCGUACUAUGGCAGGCCCGUUCUAUAUGGCAGGCCCGUACUAUAUGGCAGGCCCAUACUAUAUGGCAAGCCUUCACUACAUGGCAGGCCUGUUCUAUAUGUCAGGCCCAUACUAUGUAAGGCCCGUACUAUAUGGCAGACCUGUUCUAUAUGGCAGGCCCAUACUAUAUGGCAGGCCCGUACUGUAUGGCAGGUCUGUACUAUAUGGCAGGCCCGUUCUAUAUGUCAAGCCCAUACUAUAUGGCAGGCCCAUUCUAUAUGUCAGGCCCAUACUAUAUGGCAGGCCUGUACUAUAUGGCAGGCCUGUUCUAUAUGUCAUGCCCAUACUAUUUGUCAGGCCCCUACUAUUUGGCAGGCCCGUUCUAUAUGGCAGGCCUGUACUAUGUCAGGCCUGCAGUAUAUGGCAGGCCCGUACUAUACGUCAGGCCCAUUCUAUAUGGCAGACCCAUACUAUAUGUCAGGCCUGUACUAUAUGUCAUUCCCGUAGUAUAUGGCAGGCCCAUACUAUAUGGCAGGCUUGUACUAUAAGGCAGGCCCAUACUAUAUGGCAGGCCCGUAUUAUAUGGCGGUCCGUUCUAUAUGGCAGGCCUGUUCUAUAUGGCAGGCCCAUACUAUAUGUCAGGCCUGUACUAUAUGUCAGGCCCCUUCUAUAUGUCAGGCCUGUACUAUGUAUAUGGCAGGCCAGUUCUAUAUGUCAGGCCCAUACUAUAUGGCAGGCCCGUACUAUAUGGCAGGCCUGUACUAUAUGGCAGGUCCAUUCCAUGUCAGAUCCAUACUAUAUGUCAGGCCAGCUAGCUCAGAAUAUGAGUAUUGUGAAUUCAUACCUAACUCAUCCACAAACCUUGUGUGAGGAUUGGUCGUGCAACUCUUUACAACCAUUCUCACCUAGCACUGCUUCAAGUAAGGCAGUUAUUGAUUACUUGUAUAAUGUGAGCACUUAGAACUGGUAUACCUCUGCUUCAAGUAGGGCAGUUGUUGAUUACUUGUAUAGUGUGAGCACUUAGGACUGGUAUACCUCUGCUUCAAGUAGGGCAGUUGUUGAUUACUUGUAUAGUGUGAGCACUUAGAACUGGUAUACCUCUGCUUCAAGUAGGGCAGUUGUUGAUUACUUGUAUAGUGUGAGCACUUAGGACUGGUAUACCUCUGCUUCAAGUAGGGCAGUUGUUGAUUACUUGUAUAGUGUGAGCACUUAGAACUGGUAUACCUCUGCUUCAAGUAGGGCAGUUGUUGAUUACUUGUAUAAUGUGAGCACUUAGAACUGGUAUACCUCUGCUUCAAGUAGGGCAGUUGUUGAUUACUUGUAUAAUGUGAGCACUUAGGACUGGUAUACCUCUGCUUCAAGUAGGGCAGUUGUUGAUUACUUGUAUAGUGUGAGCACUUAGGACUGGUAUACCUCUGCUUCAUGUAGGGCAGUUAUUGAUUUUACUUGUAUAAUGUGUGCACUUAGAACUGGUAUACCUCUGCUUCAUGUAGGGCAGUUGUUGAUUACUUGUAUAAUGUGAGCACUUAGGACUGGUAUACCUCUGCUUCAAGUAGGGCAGUUGUUGAUUACUUGUAUAAUGUGAGCACUUAGGACUGGUAUACCUCUGCUUCAAGUAGGGAAGUUGUUGAUUACUUGUAUAAUGUGAGCACUUAGGACUGGUAUACAUCUGCUUCAAGUAGGGCAGUUGUUGAUUACUUGUAUUAUGUGUGCACUUAGAACUGGUAUACCUCUGCUUCAUGUAGGGCAGUUUUGAAUACUUGUAUAGUGUGAGCACUUAGGACUGGUAUACCUCUGCCUCAUGUAGGACAGUUGUUGAUUACUUGUACAGUGUGAGCACUUAGGACUGGUAUACCUCUGUUUCAUGUAGGGCAGUUGUUGAUUACUUGUAUAGUGUGAGCACUUAGGACUGGUAUACCUCUGCUUCAAGUAGGGCAGUUGUUGAUUACUU